GACCCUGGGAGCUGAUAAGACUGAAGCUCAGACCUGUGUACGGUGUGGGACCUAAGUUUGAUGUUGUGCCUCUUUCCUUCCCGCUCUGGGACACGCAGGUUCCCAGUUUCCUUUCUUGGCGACGGGCACUGGCACCAAGUUGCUCUCAGCAUCUCCUUGGAGAGGCUGGAGCUGCACGUGGACUGUCGGCUGGUGGACAGAGUGAGCUGGUCCAAUUAUUUUGGGAUGGGAGUGAACACCGAGGGGCUGAUCAUCGUUGGAGGCCUGAUUGAAUCCUUCGAGAUCCCCUUUAAGGGUGCUCUACAGCAACUGACCUUCGUGAUGGGAGACCCAGCAGCUGCUGGGGAGCACUGCCGCAGCUACAACUCAACCUGCACUCGCUCCUUCAACCUCAACCGCUUUGGUUCCCCAUGGCAGCUCUCACCAGCCUGGCCAGAGGACCCCAGACUCACCAGUUCAGAUUUGGCCCUGGGGCCACCUUGGACGUGGGAGAAUGCCCAGGAGACCCUCAGCCUUCAGCCUGAUGGAGCCCUGAUUUCUCUCUCUCCUACCGAGAUGCCAUCGGCUGAGGAGGAGGAAGAGGGAAGCCUUUCUAUUGAGGAUGAAGGCUUUGAGCUGCUGAAUUCCACCUAUAAUAAAAUCACCGGCCCUGGCAGGCCAGGGUUUGGCAGGAGCAGCCCAUGGGUUGUUGAUAGCUCUGGUCCCUCCAUCAAAACACAAAGAGCAGCCAAGAAGGAGCGUGCCUCUGACCCCUGGGAGGAGAACGUCACCACAGAGAAGCUGACGGGUGACACAGGCACCCGGCGGCAGCUCUUGCCCAGCAAACCUGGCGAUGCCAUCACUGAUCUGGAUGUGCCUGCCACCUUCACCAAGGUCUCCCCAUCGGGACAUCAGGCAGCUGCCCCAAAAGGUCCACUGGGGACGGGGUCAGCGGUGGGUGUUCCGGAGUCUCCUCUGGUAGCACCCAGCCCUGCUGUCCCAGGGCUUGGGGACAGCGUUGCCCACCCAGGACAUCCCAUCCCACCAGUGGCACAUGGGCAGCAUGGUCAUGUGAAGCCAGGGCCACCAGGGCUGCCAGGACCACCAGGGCUGCCGGGCUGUCCUGGGAGACGUGGACUGGUGGGACCCAAAGGAGACAAAGGAUACCCCGGAGCCAUGGGGCGGACGGGCCCCCCAGGUGACCCAGGCCCUGUGGGCAUCCCUGGUGUCCCCACCAUCGUCCUCUGGAGGAACUCCAGGGAGGACUGGCAGACAUUCACGGUGAGUUAUGGCCACAGCGGGCGAGCGCUCGGGGAGCUCCUCUUGCACUUCCCAUGCAGGUACCGUUCUCCUCUGCUGGGAUGGGAGCUGGGAGGAAG
rnacentral:lncRNA from 1 species